rnacentral:lncRNA from 1 species
CCCUGUUCAUGGAUAGGCAGAACUAACAUCAUCAAAAUGGCGAUAUUACCAAAAGUUCUCUAUAGGUUUAAUGCAAUGCCAAUCAAAAUCCCAACGGCAUUUCUUGUAGAAAUAGAGAAAGCAAUCAUGAAAUUCAUAUGGAAAAAUAAAAGACCCAGAAUAGCAAAAACAAUGCUAAGCAGGAAGUGUGAAUCAGGCGGUAUAGCGAUACCAGACUUCAAACUAUACUGCAGAGCAAUAGUAACAAAAACAGCAUGGUACUGGUACCAAAACAGGCAGGUGGACCAAUGGUACAGAAUAGAGGACACAGAAACCAAUCCACAAAACUACAACUAUCUUAUAUUUGAUAAAGGGGCUAAAAGCAUGCAAUGGAGGAAGGAUAGCAUCUUCAACAAAUGGUGCUGGGAAAACUGGAAAUCCAUAUGCAACAAAAUGAAACUGAAUCCCUAAGUCGUUCUUAUUCAGCUUCCCCACCCCCUUUAAUCUGUCUUUUAAAAUUGAGAUAUAAUUCACAUAACUUGAAGUUCACUUUUUUUUUUUUGAUACCUAGGAUUGAAUCUAGGGGCACUCAACCACUGAGCCACAUCCCCAGCCCCCCCUUUUUUUGUAUUUUUUAUUUAGAGACAGAGACCCACUGAAUAGCUUAGUGCCUCGCUAAGUUGCUGAGGCUGGUUUUGAACUCCUGAUCCUCCUGCCUCAGCCUCCUGAGCCGCUAGGAUUAUAGGUGUGUGCCACCAUGCCUGGCUUGUAAUUUCAUUUCAUUCUUU